rnacentral:rRNA from 1 species
UACAUGGGGUGCAAACGUUGCUCGGAAUUAUUGGGCGUAAAGCGCACGUAGGCGGUUCGUUAAGUCGGAUGUGAAAGCCCUCGGCUCAACUGAGGAAGUGCACCCGAAACUGGCGAGCUUGAGUACGAAAGAGGAUCGCGGAAUUCCCGGUGUAGAGGUGAAAAUUCGUAGAUAUCGGGGAGGAACACCGGUGGCGAAGGCGGCGAUCUGGGUCGAUACUGAACGCUGAGGUGGCGAAAAGCGUGGGGGAGCGAACAGG